rnacentral:misc_RNA from 1 species
AUCGACUCCACUCCAAUUUCAUUUCGGAAUCCCAUACAAACAAUCUUGUCGACGAUGGCAACGCCGAUGGCUGAGGAUAGCAACUUCGAAGAUGACCAGCUCCAUGCUAUGUCCACUGAAGAUAUUAUUAGGGCUUCUCGCCUUCUUGACAAUGAAAUUCGAAUCAUAAAGGAAGAGCUGCAGAGGACGAAUCUAGAGUUGGAUUCAUUCAAGGAGAAGAUAAAGGAGAACCAAGAAAAAAUUAAGCUCAAUAAGCAACUUCCUUACUUGGUCGGCAACAUUGUUGAGAUUUUGGAA